CAGUAGGUUGUAGAAGGACACUUAUGAGGCUGACGACCAGUUAUGCUGUGUUUUUGGAGUAUUGUAAUCUACAAGUGGGGGGUUGGACCACACAGAGCAGUUUUCCAUCCUGUUGGUGUGAUGUAGACUGAUCUUCCUGCUGUGGUUUCUUUGCCUGCUGCCAGUGCCAAGUUCACCUUUUUCAUAUACCCCCAGGAUUUAUGCAGUUGGAAGAGAAAGAGAUGUGUCUUUUGCCUUCGGCAGAAGAUGGCUUUUGGCUGUCCUGAUGUCAAUGGGGAGCUCAUUCCACCAUUAAGGAGCCAUUACAGCAAACAGUCGGGAUUUCAUUUAGUGAUUAGUUGUCCCUCGCUGUGAGGGGGCAGCAAGCACGUUGGCUGAUGCAGAGCGGAGUGAGCGAGUUGGGGUAUAGGGUUUGACCAUGUCCUGGAUUUAAACUGGGGCUUAUCCGUUCAUGGCCAUGUAUGUAAGUAGUCGUGUCUUGGAGGGGUUGCCGGAAGCAAUUGGUAGCCAGUGAAGAGGGAGGUGUAGUGUGAGAGAACUUGGGGAGGUUCAAGUCAAGCUGCUGUCUUCUGAAUGAGCUGCAGGCAGGCCUGCCAGGAGGGAGUUUUAGUAGUCUAGACGUGAAAUGACUAGAGCCUGAACCGGAACCUGAACCUGAGCCGCCUUCUGCGUUAGAAGGGGAUGUAGCCUUCUGAAAUUAUGCAGCACGUAUCUACACAAUCAGGUGGCUGGCAAUGUUGGCAGCAAAGGAGAGUUGGUCAUUGAGUGUCACACUUAGGUUUCUAGCAGUCUGGGUGGGGAGGACCACAGAGUUUUCAAUUUUAAUAGUAAGGUCCUGGGUAGGAAAGCUCGGAAAAGAAGCUUAUCAAGGUUGAGUUUCAGAUGGUGUGUGGACAUCCAAGAAGAUAUCAGUCAGACAGGCCUGGAUACGUGCUGCUACUUGUGUUUCUGACUCCGGAAAGAGAGUGAAUGACAGACCCAAGACAGUUGGUGUACAGAGGAAAGAGAAUGGGACCCAGGACUGAUCCCUGAGGAACCCCAGUUUUGAGUGGACAAGGUUCUAAGAUAGCUCCAAGUUACCCUAUAGGUGCGGUCUGCCAGGUAAGAUGUGAAGAAUGAGAGCGCAGAGCUUGAGACAUUGUAUCUAUAGCUUUCUGAGUGCUUGUGAAGUGGCCUCCUAUAACCUUUGGACUCCAGAAUAGAUCUCACACACACACACACACACACACACACACAC